rnacentral:rRNA from 1 species
AGAGUUUGAUCCUGGCUCAGGACGAACGUUGGCGGUGCGCUUAAUGCAUGCAAGUCGAGGGAGAACCAGUUGGUCCGUAAGGAUCGGUUGGGGAAACCGGCGAACGGGUGCGUAACACGUGAGGAACCUGCCCCGAAGACCGGGAUAGCCCGGGGAAACCCGGAUUAAUACCGGAUACCCUCUUUGGACCACAUGGUCUGUUGAGGAAAUGGUCUGCCGCUUCGGGAUGGCCUCGUGGCCUAUCAGCUUGUUGGUGAGGUAACGGCUUACCAAGGCGAAGACGGGUAGCUGGUCUGAGAGGACGAUCAGCCACACUGGGACUGAGACACGGCCCAGACUCCUACGGGAGGCAGCAGCAGGGAAUAUUGCACAAUGGGCGAAAGCCUGAUGCAGCGACACCGCGUGCGGGAUGAAGGCCUUCGGGUUGUAAACCGCUUUCAGGAGGGANGAAAANG